rnacentral:sRNA from 1 species
AUCUGAAGUCUGACGAGGAUGAGAACCUCCGGGGGCAAGAGGUUCGACUCGAGCGAAGCGAGAGAACGUUGCGUCAGCAACGGCCCGCAGUGGCAAGUCAUCCUCUGUCACCGGCA